UACAGAGGGGGCAAGCGUUGUUCGGAAUUACUGGGCGUAAAGGGCGCGUAGGCGGCUUUCUAAGUCGCACGUGAAAUCCCCGGGCUCAACCCGGGAACUGCGUCCGAUACUGGAAGGCUUGAAUCCGGGAGAGGGAUGCGGAAUUCCAGGUGUAGCGGUGAAAUGCGUAGAUAUCAGGAGGAACACCUGUGGCGAAAGCGGCGCACUGGACCACAACUGACGCUGAGGCGCGAAAGCUAGGGGAGCAAACAGG
rnacentral:rRNA from 1 species